rnacentral:lncRNA from 1 species
UUUCCGAUAGACCCCCGGCUCGAGACACGCGGUACCACACAAACACAUAGUAAAGCACAGCACAAGGUUACAAGAUUACAUAACAUAAAUACGGCACCCAUAAGUAAUAUAAAACAAAGGAAAGCACACAGCUUCAUAAUAAAACAUGGGACACGGACUCCUAACAGGAAUAAACCCCCACCAAGUAGUUCCCUAUACUAGCGACUCAGACUGGCCCUAGUCCACUGCCCUGAUUCGCGUCCUCCAGACCUUCCUAUCUAGGGUCAUGUGGGUCUGGGGGGGGUUAGAAUGUACGCAGUCCAUACUUCUACCUCUGAAGAAGUAGAAAGGCUGUUUCCGAUAGACCCCCGGCUCGAGACACGCGGUACCACACAAACACAUAGUAAAGCACAGCACAAGGUUACAAGAUUACAUAACAUAAAUACGGCACCCAUAAGUAAUAUAAAAUAAAGGAAAGCACACAGCUUCAUAAUAAAACAUGGGACACGAACUCCUAACAGGAAUAAACCCCCACCAAGUAGUUCCCUAUACUAGCGACUCAGACUGGCCCUAGUCCACUGCCCUGAUUCGCGUCCUCCAGACCUUCCUAUCUAGGGUCAUGUCCUCAGUGAGCUGUAACUGCUCCAUGUCUCGCCUAAUCACCUCACCACAGUAAAAGGGUGAGUUUUUCAACUCAUGCAGAAAAAUCGACAAGGAAGAGUUACGAAAAUUCAGAUUAGCAUAAAAGCUUCUAAACUUCACAGAUCAUUGAACUGAUGAAAUGCUGAACCAGAAGGGAAAAGGGAGGAUUUUUCAACUCUAUAUGAAUUAAAUCGAAAAGGAAAAACCCCACACCCAAAAAAGAGCUAUCAAGUUACCAGAAUUCAGAUUAGCAUAAAAGCUAUACUUCACAGAUCAUUGAACCGAUGAAAUGACGAACCAGAAACACUAGCAUAAAAGCUAAACCUCACAGAUCAUUGAAUUAAUGAAAUGCUGGACCAGAACACUAAGCUAAAACAGGAGAAUUUUUCAACUAUGUAGGAACAAAAGUCAAAAGGAAAAACACCAGACCAAAAGAAGACCACUCGAGUAAGCAGAAUUCAGCUUAACAUAAAAGCUAACUUCACAGAUCAUUGAACCAGUGACAUGCCGAACCAUAAACAAUCUAAUAAGUAAACAAGGGAGAAUUUUUCAACACUAUGAACAAAAACAGAAAAGGAAAAAACACACACCACAAAAAGACCAGUCUAAGUUACCAGAAUUCAGAUUAGAGCUUAACUUUACAGAUCAUUGAACCGAUGAAAUGCUGAAACAUAAACAAUGUAAGCAAAAAGGGGAUAUUUUUUCAACUAUGUAAGAACAAAAAGCGAAUAAGGAACAAAAAACGAAAAGGAAAAAACCCACACCACAAAAAGACCAGUCUAAGCUACCAGAAUUCAGAUUAGAGCUAAACUUUACAAUCAUUGAACCUAUGAAAUGUUGAACCAUAAACAAUAUAAGUAAAAAGGGCAUUUUUUUUUAUUUUUGAUAACCGUGAUGUCCGGGCCAGCUUGCGCGCACCUCGACUAAAUCCACGGAAUACCUGCUACCUCCCACCAGCAACAGGUAUCAGGCAACUCUGUCCACCAAGGCUAGAACAGAUGGGAAGAAAACACCUAGUGUUUGUCUCAGCUGGAAAUUGAACCUGAGACCUCAUGGUGUUCAUCCUAAUUUCAUUGAACCACUAGGCCACACCCUGAUAUUUUUUCAACUAGGUAAAGAACAAAAAUCUAAUAAGGAAAAUCCCCACACCAAAAAACCACCAGUUUAAGUCACCAGAAUUCAGAUUAGAGCUAAAAACAUCACAGAUCAUCCAACCAAUAAAAUGCCAAACCAGAAAACCAAAAAUCUAAGUAAAAAAGGUGGGAUUUUUCAACUAUGUAGCAACAAAAAUCAAAUAAGGAAAAACCCCACACCACAAAAAGAUCAGUCUAAGUUACCAGAAUUCACAUUAGAGAGCUGAACAAACUUCACAGAUAAAUAAUAUAAGUAGAAAGGAUAGAAUUUUUCAACUAUAUAGGAACAACAAUAAAAAAAGCAAAAACC